CCCUUAGAUGUUCUGGGCCGCACGCGUGCUACACUGAGUGGAUCAGCGGGUCAGGUUGCGCGAAAGCGUUUCCUAAUCUUGAAAUCCGCUCGUGAUGGGGAUUGACGGUUGCAAUUUUCUGUCAUGAACGAGGAAUACCUUGUAAGCGCGAGUCAUCAUCCCGCGCUGAAUACGUCCCUGCCCUUUGUACACACCGCCCGUCGCUCCUACCGAUUGAGUGGCCCGGUGAGGCUUUGGGAUCUGAGCGGAAAGAGCGUUUCGCUCGUUCUGCCCGGAAAACUCAGUCGAACCUUAUCAUUUAGAGGAAGGAGAAGUCGUAACA
rnacentral:rRNA from 1 species